CUGGCGAUGCCUACCUGCAAGUCGCACGAGAAAGCCCGGUUCGCCGGGCGAGUAAAGUGGCGCACGGGUGAGUAACGCGUGGGUAAUCUACCUUUCUCUGGGGGAUAACGCACCGAAAGGUGCGCUAAUACCGCAUACUCCGGCGAAAUUUCGGUUUUGUCGGCAAAGGUGGCCUCUUGAUCAAAGCUACCGAGGAAAGAUGAGCCCGCGUCCCAUUAGCUAGUUGGUAGGGUAAAGGCCUACCAAGGCGACGAUGGGUAGCUGGUCUGAGAGGACGAUCAGCCACACUGGAACUGGAACACGGUCCAGACUCCUACGGGAGGCAGCAGUGAGGAAUAUUGCGCAAUGGGGGAAACCCUGACGCAGCGAUGCCGCGUGGGUGAAGAAGGCCUUCGGGUCGUAAAGCCCUGUCAAGCGGGAAGAACAGCCACCGGGCGAAUACCCUGGUGGUGUGACGGUACCGCUGAAGGAAGCACCGGCUAACUCCGUGCCAGCAGCCGCGGUAAGACGGAGGGUGCGAGCGUUAUUCGGAAUUAUUGGGCGUAAAGAGCGUGUAGGCGGCCGGUCAAGUCAGAGGUGAAAGCCCAGGGCUCAACCCUGGAAGUGCCUUUGAAACUGGUCGGCUUGAGUUCGGGAGAGGGAAGUGGAAUUCCGGGUGUAGAGGUGAAAUUCGUAGAUAUCCGGAGGAACCCCGGUGGCGAAGGCGACUUCCUGGACCGAAACUGACGCUGAGACGCGAAAGCGUGGGGAGCAAACAGAUUAGAUACCCUGGUAGUCCACGCUGUAAACGAUGGGCACUAAGUUUUUG
rnacentral:rRNA from 1 species